CUGUACAAACUGACUGUUCUGGUUGUGUGCAACUUGGCGUGGAAUGUGUAAUAUCUACCCAAUAAUUAAGAGGCUUAUUAAGAAUAACAAUGGUAAUGCUUUUCCUUUUAUAUAAAUUGCUUUUUUUAGUACAAAUGUAAUACAUGCUCAUUAGAGAGAAAUUUGGAAGGCACCAAAAAUCACAGAGAAAUAUCAUUAUUGCACCUAAUCCCACCGCCAAGAUAAAAACGCUAGUGCCAUCUUGCGUGGUAGAUGAUGAUUUCCAUCCAUUACACCAAUCACCUUGCAUCAACUCUUCAGUACUAAGUAGCUAUUCUUCUAGACAUCUAAUUUCUUGAGGUCAGAGACCACCUUAUUCAUCAUCAUGUUUAGAAAACUGUGGUGUUGUGUUUGUCAAGAUGGGCUAGGUUACGCUGUGUUAACAACCCUGGAAUCUCAGUGCCGUAAGGUGGGGCUUGGCAAACUGUGGCCCAAGAGCCAAAUGAAAUCCACAAACUGCUAUUGUAAAUAAAGUUUUGUU
rnacentral:lncRNA from 1 species